GAACUGAGACACGGUCCAAACUCCUACGGGAGGCAGCAGUGAGGAAUAUUGGUCAAUGGGCGAGAGCCUGAACCAGCCAAGUAGCGUGAAGGAUGAAGGCUCUAUGGGUCGUAAACUUCUUUUAUAUGGGAAUAAAGUUUUCCACGUGUGGAAUUUUGUAUGUACCAUAUGAAUAAGGAUCGGCUAACUCCGUGCCAGCAGCCGCGGUAAU
rnacentral:rRNA from 1 species